UCUCCUUUAAGAUAGCUGGCACUGGUCCGUAUCCACAAUUUUAUCUGCUAAAGCGAAUGAUUAGCGGUAUUAGAGCUAAAAUAAUCUCAGCCUGUCCACAAAUUUUAAAAGAGUUGGGUGUGGAAUGUGAGCGCCUAGUGGGCCACUUUUGGUUAGCAGAACUGGUACUGCGGGGUGACCCAAAUGUUGGGUUAAGGGUCCCAGUGCUAAUACUUAUCAGACCCCUAGACACACAGGAGUACUGAAUGGGACUCCAGAG
rnacentral:ncRNA from 1 species